rnacentral:rRNA from 1 species
CGGCCUAUCAGCUUGUUGGUGAGGUAAUGGCUCACCAAGGCUACGACGGGUAGCCGGCCUGAGAGGACGACCGGCCACACUGGGACUGAGACACGGCCCAGACUCCUACGGGAGGCAGCAGUGGGGAAUAUUGCUGAUGGGCGCAAGCCUGAUGCAGCGACGCCUCGUGGGGGAUGAAUGCCUUCGGGUUGUAAACCCCUUUCAGAAGGGAAGAAAAUUAAGUGGCCGUCCCUACAGACCAAGGGCCGGCUACUUACAUGAAACCCGGCGGGAUUGAGCGCAGGGCUCUCGCGUUGUACUGAAGUAUUGGACGUAGAGAGCUUUAAGGCGGCUUGUCGCGUGUGCUGUGAAAUCCCUCGGCCUUACCUCGGCUCUGGAGACGGAACUGGCCGACUCUUGCGCGGGGGGUACGACUGGACCUCCUGGUGGUUCAACUGAAUGCAUAUAGUUCCGGAGGAACGCGGAUGACGAAGGCAGGGGGCUGGGCCCGUA